rnacentral:rRNA from 1 species
UUCUACGGGAGGCAGCAGUGGGGAAUAUUGGACAAUGGACCGCAAGUCUGAUCCAGCAAUUCUGUGUGCACGAUGACGUUUUUCGGAAUGUAAAGUGCUUUCAGUCGGGAAGAAGUCAGUGACGGUACCGACAGAAGAAGCGACGGCUAAAUACGUGCCAGCAGCCGCGGUAAUACGUAUGUCGCAAGCGUUAUCCGGAUUUAUUGGGCGUAAAGCGCGUCUAGGCGGCAAGGAAAGUCUGAUGUGAAAAUGCGGAGCUCAACUCCGUAUGGCGUUGGAAACUGCCUUACUAGAGUACUGGAGAGGUAGGCGGAACUACAAGUGUAGAGGUGAAAUUCGUAGAUAUUUGUAGGAAUGCCGAUGGGGAAGCCAGCCUACUGGACAGAUACUGACGCUAAAGCGCGAAAGCGUGGGUAGCAAACAGGAUUAGAUACCCUGGUAGUCC